rnacentral:lncRNA from 1 species
GCUGAGCAGGGAAGAGAAGUUCUUUCUUUAACUCAGGCAAAAAAUGAAAAGCUCAGUCCUUGAAGCUCCCCUUCCCUUCCCUCCUUGGCCCCAUUAGCCUCUCCUGGGAGUACCCAGCACACAGUAGGUGUGGAGUGAGUCACAGACAGAGUGAAUGAAUGGAGGAUGCCUUGAAGUAACGGGACCUGGGUUUGAGUCCUCCCCCACCAGUUUCUAGCUGGUGACCUUGGGCAGAUUGCUUGAUGUCUUUGAACUUCAGGUUCCCUAUCUGUCCCACCCAAAUGAUACUUGAAGAGUUGUGAGGAGGAAAUGAGAGGAAUCAAUGGAAAGGCCUUAGAAUCCGGUCUGACAUUUAGGACUCCUCCAAUGGUAACUUUUGGUUAUUUUUACUAAAGAUAGAAUGGCUGGGUCAGCCUCUAACCGUGCACUGGGGCAUACAUUUUCUGAGCAUCUAAGGUGUUCCAGGCACUGCAGAUGGCCUAGAGAUGAGGGAGGCUCCGUCUCUGCUCUCUGGCCUCUCAUAAUCUGAUGGAGGAGAUGCACAGCCACACAGCCCUGAAAUAGCACUGAAUGGCCUCCCGGUAGCCAUUAUCGAGAGUACAUAGGGGCCACGGGAGCAGAGUCUGGACAGGACCAAUCUGCUCUGGAGGGGCAGGUCAGGGGAGCUUCCUGAAAGAGGUGGACUGUAACUGUACUUGGAAGGACACAGGAGUUUGCCCUUGGGGAAUGCCCCCCCUAGGGAAAGAAUGAUGCAGAGACUUGAACUGCUUGUCUAGGGGACACUGAAAUGUAGUCUGUGCUCCUGUGUCACCUUGUCAGGAGGUGCUCUCUCCUCGCCCUGGAUUAACAGCACCCUGUCCACCCUCACUCCCUCUCCCUAUCACUGCUUCAGGUUUUCUGCCUGUCAUCUUGGCCUGAUGUUGGCCCUAAGUUGGUGUUUCUCUCUCUACUAGAACAUCAGCCCCACGAGGGCAGUGUAGUGGGGCCAAUCUUGUUCCCCCAAGCAAAUACGUUGCAAUUCUAGCCUUCAGGUCCUCUGAAUGUGACCUUAUUUGGAGAUGGAUUGUUUAAAGAGGUAGUGAAGCUAAAAUAAGGCCAUUGGGGUAGCCCUAACUAAAUAGGACUGAUGUCCUUAUAAAAAAGGGGAGAUUUGGAGUCAGGCAUGAACAUGGGGAGGAGGCCACAUGAAGACCAGAGACCUGCUGCCACAGGCCAAGGAGCUACCAGAGGCUGGGAGAGAGGCCUAGCACAGAUGCCUCUCUCACAGCCUUCAGAAGGAACCUGGCAACACCUUGAUCUUGAACUUCG